GCCGGGCAUGGUGGCUUAUGCCUGUAAUCCCAGCACUUUGGGAGGCUGAGGCUGGUGGAUCACCUGAGGUCAGGAGUUCGAACCCAGCCUGACCAACAUGGAGAAACCCUGUCUCUA
rnacentral:SRP_RNA from 1 species